GAUGAACGCUAGCUACAGGCUUAACACAUGCAAGUCGAGGGGUAACAAGAGAAAAGCUUGCUUUUCUUGUUGACGACCAGCGCACGGGUGAGUAACGCGUAUCCAACCUGCCUAUAAAUAGGGAAUAACCUUGCGAAAGUAAGACUAAUACCCUAUGAUUUCCUUUGAUGACAUCAGAUGAGGCAUAAAGCUUUAUCUGUUAUAGAUGGGGAUGCGUCUGAUUAGCUUGUUGGCGGGGUAACGGCCCACCAAGGCAACGAUCAGUAGGGGUUCUGAGAGGAAGGUCCCCCACAUUGGAACUGAGACACGGUCCAAACUCCUACGGGAGGCAGCAGUGAGGAAUAUUGGUCAAUGGGCGGAAGCCUGAACCAGCCAAGUAGCGUGCAGGAUGACGGCCCUAUGGGUUGUAAACUGCUUUUAUACAGGAAUAAAGUUAGCCACGUGUGGUUAUUUGUUGGUACUGUAUGAAUAAGGACCGGCUAAUUCCGUGCCAGCCGCCGCGGUAA
rnacentral:rRNA from 1 species